AGUGAACGCUGGCGGUGGGCCUAACACAUGCAAGUCGAACGGCAGCACAGUAAGAGCUUGCUCUUCCGGGUGGCGGGUGGCGGGCGGGUGAGGAAUGCAUCGGAAUCUACUUUUUCGUGGGGGAUAACGUAGGGAAACUUACGCUAAUACCGCAUACGAUCUACGGGUGAAAGCAGGGGAUCUUCGGACCUUGCGCGAUUGAAUGAGCCGAUGUCGGACUAGCUAGUUGGGGGGGUAAUGGCCAACCAUGGCGACGAUCCGUAGCUGGUCUGAGUGGAUGAUCGGCCACACGGGAGCGUGGACACGGUCCAGAGUCCUACGGGAGGCAGCAGUGGGGAAUAGUGGACAAUGGGCGCAAGCCUGAUCCAGCAAUACCGCGUGUGUGAAGAAGGCCUUCGGGUCGUAAAGCCCUUUUGUUGGGAAAGAAAAGCAGCAGGUUAAUACCCCGCUGUUCUGACGGUACCCAAAGAAUAAGCACCGGCUAACUUCGUG
rnacentral:rRNA from 1 species